UAUAGCUUUGGGCACAGAAGAGUAAAAGGAAUAACAAUUUACAGAUUUCUCUACUUUCUUAUCCCUGCUGACUAAGCCACCACUGGAUCCUUAACCCUGAGGGGACUAGCAGUCUGGCUUCUCCUGCCACCUACAACGUUCUACAACUCCUAUGAACUCUUGACAUGCUCAGGUUUGAGUGUAAAAGAUGCCCUGAAACUUAAGCUUAUUGACCGCAAGUGCCUUCCGUUGGCCUAAAACAAUUGGAAGACAGCUGGCAAAGGAGAAGCACUGUGAUGCAGAGCCCUGGAACACACAGAAUGGAAGAGAAAGGCAGGGAAGCUAUGGGUAGGGAAAAUGGAGAACAGAAACUAUGACUUCACUGGAUCCUCAGUCUGAAAUGGUGAGUUAUCAGGACAAA